UACAGAGGCCUCAAGCGUUAGGCGGAAUCACUGGGCUUAAAGCGUGUGUAGGCGGGUCGUUAAGUACCUUGUGAAAUCCCACGGCUUAACCGUGGAACCGCUUGGUAUACUGGCGAUCUUGAGCCACUUAGGGGCUACCGGAACAGAUGGUGGAGCGGUGAAAUGCGUAGAUAUCAUCUGGAACGCCAAUGGUGAAAACAGGUAGCUGGGAGUGUGCUGACGCUGAGACACGAAAGCCAGGGGAGCGAACGGGAUUAGAAACCCCAGUAGUCC
rnacentral:rRNA from 1 species